CUUGCUCUCUGAUUCAGCGGCGGACGGGUGAGUAAUGCCUAGGAAUCUGCCUGAUAGUGGGGGACAACGUUUCGAAAGGAACGCUAAUACCGCAUACGUCCUAAGGGAGAAAGCAGGGGACCUUCGGGCCUUGCGCUAUCAGAUGAGCCUAGGUCGGAUUAGCUAGUUGGUGAGGUAAUGGCUCACCAAGGCGACGAUCCGUAACUGGUCUGAGAGGAUGAUCAGUCACACUGGAACUGAGACACGGUCCAGACUCCUACGGGAGGCAGCAGUGGGGAAUAUUGGACAAUGGGCGAAAGCCUGAUCCAGCCAUGCCGCGUGUGUGAAGAAGGUCUUCGGAUUGUAAAGCACUUUAAGUUGGGAGGAAGGGCAUUAACCUAAUACGUUAGUGUUUUGACGUUACCGACAGAAUAAGCACCGGCUAACUUCGUGCCAGCAGCCGCGGUAAUACGAAGGGUGCAAGCGUUAAUCGGAAUUACUGGGCGUAAAGCGCGCGUAGGUGGUUUGUUAAGUUGAAUGUGAAAGCCCCGGGCUCAACCUGGGAACUGCAUCCAAAACUGGCAAGCUAGAGUAUGGCAGAGGGUGGUGGAAUUUCCUGUGUAGCGGUGAAAUGCGUAGAUAUAGGAAGGAACACCAGUGGCGAAGGCGACCACCUGGGCUAAUACUGACACUGAGGUGCGAAAGGUGGGGAGCAAACAGGAUUAGAUACCCUGGUAGUCCACGCCGUAAACGAUGUCGACUAGCCGUUGGGAUCCUUGAGAUCUUAGUGGCGCAGCUAACGCAUUAAGUCGACCGCCUGGGGAGUACGGCCGCAAGGUUAAAACUCAAAUGAAUUGACGGGGGCCCGCACAAGCGGUGGAGCAUGUGGUUUAAUUCGAAGCAACGCGAAGAACCUUACCAGGCCUUGACAUGCAGAGAACUUUCCAGAGAUGGAUUGGUGCCUUCGGGAACUCUGACACAGGUGCUGCAUGGCUGUCGUCAGCUCGUGUCGUGAGAUGUUGGGUUAAGUCCCGUAACGAGCGCAACCCUUGUCCUUAGUUACCAGCACGUUAAGGUGGGCACUCUAAGGAGACUGCCGGUGACAAACCGG
rnacentral:rRNA from 2 species